rnacentral:rRNA from 1 species
AACAAACGCUGGCGGCGUGCCUAAUACAUGCAAGUCGAACGGGGAAAGCUUUCGGGUGAGUACUAGUUGCGCACGGGUGGGUAACGAGUGGAUAAUCUGCCUUAGAGUGGGGGAUAAAUAGUCGAAAGAUUAGCUAAUACCGCAUAAGACCACAAGAACUGCGGGUCAAGGGGUCAAAGGUUUUUCUCUCUAAGAUGAGUCCGCGUAAGAUUAGCUAGUUGGUAGGGUAACGGCCUACCAAGGCGACGAUCUUUAACUGGUCUGAGAGGAUGAUCAGUCACACUGGAACUGAGACACGGUCCAGACUCCUACGGGAGGCAGCAGUAGGGAAUAUUGCACAAUGGAGGAAACUCUGAUGCAGCGACGCCGCGUGAGUGAUGAAGGCCUUCGGGUCGUAAAGCUCUGUCGCAGGGGAAUAACACAAUGAAGGUACCCUGUAAGAAAGGAUCGGCUAACUUCGUGCCAGCAGCCGCGGUAAAAC